GAGGCAGCAGUGGGGAAUUUUGGACAAUGGGCGAAAGCCUGAUCCAGCCAUGCCGCGUGAGUGAAGAAGGCCUUCGGGUUGUAAAGCUCUUUCGGUCGGGAAGAAAUAGUUGUGGCUAAUAUCUGCAACGAAUGACGGUAUCGACAGAAGAAGCACCGGCUAACUACGUGCCAGCAGCCGCGGUAAUACGUAGGGUGCAAGCGUUAAUCGGAAUUAUUGGGCGUAAAGGGUGCGCAGGCGGAUAUAUAAGUCAGAUGUGAAAUCCCUGGGCUUAACCUAGGAAUUGCGUUUGAAACUAUAUAACUAGAGUGUGGCAGAGGGGAGUGGAAUUCCAUGUGUAGCAGUGAAAUGCGUAGAGAUGUGGAAGAACACCGAUGGCGAAGGCAGCUCCCUGGGUUAACACUGACGCUCAUGCACGAAAGCGUGGGGAGCAAACAGGAUUAGAUACCCUGGUAGUCCACGCCCUAAACGAUGUCAACUAGUUGUCGGAUCUAUAUAAAGAUUAGGUAACGUAGCUAACGCGUGAAGUUGACCGCCUGGGAAGUACGGUCGCAAGAUUAAAACUCAAAGGAAUUGACGGGGACCCGCACAAGCGG
rnacentral:rRNA from 1 species